AGUGAACGCUGGCGGUAGGCCUAACACAUGCAAGUCGAACGGCAGCACAGUAAGAGCUUGCUCUUACGGGUGGCGAGUGGCGGACGGGUGAGGAAUACAUCGGAAUCUACUUUUUCGUGGGGGAUAACGCAGGGAAACUUACGCUAAUACCGCAUACGACCUACGGGUGAAAGCAGGGGAUCUUCGGACCUUGCGCGAUUGAAUGAGCCGAUGUCGGAUUAGCUAGUUGGCGGGGUAAAGGCCCACCAAGGCGACGAUCCGUAGCUGGUCUGAGAGGAUGAUCAGCCACACUGGAACUGAGACACGGUCCAGACUCCUACGGGAGGCAGCAGUGGGGAAUAUUGGGCAAUGGGCGCAAGCCUGAUCCAGCCAUACCGCGUGGGUGAAGAAGGCCUUCGGGUUGUAAAGCCCUUUUGUUGGGAAAGAAAAGCAGCAGGUUAAUACCCCGCUGUUCUGACGGUACCCAAAGAAUAAGCACCGGCUAACUUCGUG
rnacentral:rRNA from 1 species